rnacentral:rRNA from 1 species
AUUGAACGCUGGCGGCAGGCCUAACACAUGCAAGUCGAGCGGAUGACGGGAGCUUGCUCCUUGAUUCAGCGGCGGACGGGUGAGUAAUGCCUAGGAAUCUGCCUGGUAGUGGGGGACAACGUUUCGAAAGGAACGCUAAUACCGCAUACGACCUACGGGAGAAAGCAGGGGACCUUCGCGCCUUGCGCUAUCAGAUGGGCCUAGGUCGGAUUAGCUAGUUGGUGGGGUAAUGGCUCACCAAGGCGACGAUCCGUAACUGGUCUGAGAGGAUGAGCAGUCACACUGGAACUGAGACACGGUCCAGACUCCUACGGGAGGCAGCAGUGGGGAAUAUUGGACAAUGGGCGAAAGCCUGAUCCAGCCAUGCCGCGUGUGUGAAGAAGGUCUUCGGAUUGUAAAGCACUUUAAGUUGGGAGGAAGGGCAGUAAGCUAAUACCUUGCUGUUUUGACGUUACCGACAGAAUAAGCACCGGCUAACUCUGUGCCAGCAGCCGCCGCCG